rnacentral:rRNA from 1 species
UUUAUGGAGAGUUUGAUCCUGGCUCAGAGUGAACGCUGGCGGCGUGCCUAAUACAUGCAAGUCGAACGAUGAAGCUUCUAGCUUGCUAGAAGUGGAUUAGUGGCGCACGGGUGAGUAAGGUAUAGUUAAUCUGCCCUACACAAGAGGACAACAGUUGGAAACGACUGCUAAUACUCUAUACUCCUGCUUAACACAAGUUGAGUAGGGAAAGUUUUUCGGUGUAG